CAAACAGCUCUUUUCAGAGCUACAACUCUUUCCCCAUUUCUUUAACU
rfam:Amphimedon queenslandica AMPQTscaffold_13366_Cont4037, whole genome shotgun sequence.